GGCAGCGUAGUGCAGUGGUUUGAAUGUUGGACUGUGACUCUGAAGACCAGGGUUUGAGUCCCAGCUCAACUA